rnacentral:rRNA from 1 species
UAGGCCUAACACAUGCAAGUCGUACGAGAGUUUUUAACUCUAGUGGCGGACGGGUGAGUAACACGUGAGAAUUUGCCUUUAGGAGGGGGACAACAAUUGGAAACGAAUGCUAAUACCCCAUAUGCUUUAGAGUGAAAUGGAUUUUAUCCGCCUAGAGAGAAGCUCGCGGCUGAUUAGCUUGUUGGUAAGGUAAGAGCUUACCAAGGCGACGAUCAGUAUCUGGUUUGAGAGGACGAUCAGACACACUGGAACUGAGACACGGUCCAGACUCCUACGGGAGGCAGCAGUGGGGAAUUUUCCGCAAAGGGCGAAAGCCUGACGGAGCAA